UACGGAGGUUGCGAGCGUUAUCCGGAAUAAUUGGGCGUAAAGCGCGCGCAGGCGGUUAUGUAAGUCUGGUGUGAAAGCGUGUGGCUUAACCACAGAUAUGCUUUGGAAACUGCAUAACUAGAGUGCUUUAGGGGGGGGUGGAAUUCCAGGUGUAGCGGUGAAAUGCGUAGAUAUAUGGAGGAACACCGGUGGCGAAGGCGGCCCUCUGGGCUGUAACUGACGCUGAGGUUCGAAAGCGUGGGGAGCAAACAGG
rnacentral:rRNA from 1 species